ACCUCCUCCCCCCCCCCGCAAAUAUAUCACCUCAUCACAACAAUGUGAGGAGGAGGCGUCCGUAGAAACUGACAGGCCAGGAGGAGCUGGGGGGUGCCUUUUUGAACGUAGUGCUGAAGUGUGGGUUGCCAUGACGAUGGCUGUCAACCGGGAAGUCCUCCGCGCGGAGGCAGGCGGAACAAGGGCUAGGAGUGUGAGAGAGAUUGUGUGUCCUGGCCAGUUUCAGGAGUCAGAGGGAGCGAGAGAAAGUGCAGCGAGGGCCUGCGUCGAGGCGUUGGUGCACUGCUGAGGCGGAGAGAAACACGCGUGAGUUCACAGGUCGACGCCAACAGGAGGGGGAUCCUUCAUGCUGAGAGCAAAAUAUUGAUCUCUGCCACAGAGGAACCAUAACUGAUCAUAUGCAGACUCAGCAAAGUGCGGAAGUAGUGGGCCAUCCAAAUGGCUCCCAGAGUUAUCUGUCUGGGAAGCCUGACAUUUCUUCAAGCCAGCACAUCCUGACUUCUCCAGAGCAUGUGGUGGUCAUCUCCCCUGGACUCCCUACUCCUCCGCUGAGUCUGUUUUGCUCCACAGGACUGACAUCUGGCGCUGUGAAGGAGCCAGAGCUUAAUGGAGGAGGUCCAGUGACUCCGAGCUUCGGAUCGUACUACGGACCUGCACAGUCGCAAGGUGAACUGUCCAAUGGAGUCCAGGGCUCUUCCACUUUGCCGCACAGCUGGGUGCCAAAUAACGAGGGGAGGCUUAUUAAGUUCUCAGGAAUCGGUCCGGUGGAUGAGACCGGGAUGCCCAUCGCGUCCAGAUCGAGCGUGAACAAGCCCAGAGACUGGUACAGGAGCAUGUUCAGACAGAUUCACAAGAAGCCUGAGGAACAAGAGGACUCAGAGCGGUGGUCACCAGAACGGCUCCAGUCAUCUGCAGAGAGAGAAAAAAUCAUAGAAGAAGACAAGAAUCUCUUUAGACUGACGCCUUACGGGUCCCUGCCUGAUUGGAGCGAAGAUGUAGAUAAGCUGUCUGACCCUGGAAAGCAACAACCUCAACCCAAGAGCAUAUUCGACUUUGAGCCUGACAGGAGCUCCGCUUCAGUGAGUAACAGCCAGGUUCAUUUGUCCCAGAAGAGACAGCCUGAGAAACCAACAUCCCCUUCCAUUGAGGCCAGUCUGCAGUCUGAGCUGAGCCAGUUCGAAGCUGAGCUGGACUCGGAGAUUCAGGGUCUGGAGAGGACACUUUCUCAGAAGAAGCAGCGUCGAGGCCGGGGUGAGGAGGCCACAGGUAGGGAUCCACUAGCUGCUCCAAAGGCUGUCACCACCAACCACAGCAACCUGUUAGCAUCUAAGCAACCUAUUCAGCGCUCUGGUGGCUUACCAUCAACUUCUGCUCCUGCACAUGUAGGACGUCUCUCUGCUGCAAAUGAAAGUAUGGAGCCUUCAUCAAAAAAAGAGGAGAAAAAGAUGAAAGCUGCAAGAGUCAAGUUUGAUUUCCAGGCUCAGUCAUCCAGGGAGCUCAUGCUGCAGAAAGGCGACAUUGUUUACAUCCACAGGCAGGUAGACGCCAACUGGUUUGAAGGGGAGCAUCAUGGGAGAGCUGGCAUUUUCCCAACUUCUUAUGUGGAGGUUCUACCUCCCACAGAGAAGCCGACACCAAUCAAGUCUCCUACUCUCCAGGUGUUGGAGUAUGGAGAAGCUCUAGCUCUAUAUAAUUUCAAUGCUGACCUUCCUGUUGAGCUUUCCUUUCGCAAAGGCGAGGUGAUCUGCAUAACCAGGCAAGUUGACGAUAAGUGGUUGGAGGGCAGGAUCUCUGGAACGAACCGUAGCGGCAUCUUCCCGGCCAAUUACGUCCAGGUCAACAAGAUGCCCCGCACCAAAUACUCCACGGAUGAUUUCUCAGCGGGCCCCAUGUCUCCUGGACCGCAGAGUCCGGGGCGUCCGCUCCACUCCCCGUCCCCGCGGUCACCACUGAUUCCCUUCACGCCCCCUUCUUUCAGUCCCAAACUUGAGCACUCCCCUCUGAAACCGUCGUCACCUGUCCAGUACGGCGGCCCGGGCUCACAGUCACGCUCCCCCAACCAGACACUGUCACACCAUCGACUUCCCCACGGCACCCCGAGUACGCCUUCUCCCACCAACCAGAACAGCAACCCGGUUGCAGCACACUCUACCUUUAGAGCAGUUUCACCUUCUUCUCAGUCUUCAGCGCCCGUGCACAGAGCAGCAGCUCCUUCAGUGAGCACUCCCAGAUACACUGGUCCCUCACAGGUCUGCUCUCACCACCGCCCUCAAACAUCACAGCAUGCCCACACCUGGUGCAAUACCAAGCCUGUACGCUCCCUCGAUUGCGCAUGUCAACUCUGAGAGCAAUCCUGGUUCAAUAAUGGGGCAACGUCAACCGUAUAAAGCUGUUUACAACUACAAACCCCAGAAUGCAGACGAGCUGGAGCUCAGAGAAGGGGACAUUGUGCAAGUGAUGGAAAAAUGUGAUGAUGGCUGGUUUGUAGGUACGUCAGAACGGACUCAUACUUUUGGGACUUUUCCUGGGAAUUACGUGACACCAGUCUGACUUCUUCACUCGCUGCUUGCCAAUACUCAGUGGGACUGAUGAGCAUAGCUAAUGAACAUUUCCUUGUCCCAUUUCCUGCUUAUGUUUUGUGGAGUUUGCAUGUGCACUCUGUUUUUCAGAAGAGAAGGGAUGGACACCGUGUGGUUUCUCCCCUCACUGUCCUGCAUGUGUGAGCACAUACUGAAUGCGAGCGUGUGUUGCACAGUGAUUUCAGGAGCGUUUUUAUACACUUUAGAGCAACACUGAUGUGACUGAUUCUUAUGCACAAAACGAACAUUUUAGUUUCCUUAUUCCACAACUUUUUGCAGCUGCAGGACAUUUGCAUUCCUUCCCGCUGAACAGCACUAUUCCCGCUGAGGUCCUUAAACAGCACACUGCUGCACUCAGCCUUUUGUCACCACAGUGCCUACACAAACCGCAAGUGGGAUGUAAAAACAAAGAUAGUGAGUUUUGUAGCGUUUUCCUGAGUUAUUAAUAUUUCUUUCACAUAUUUCCCCCCAGAUUUUCUUUCAGAUGUCUGAAAUAACUGCAGCAGUUUUCGAAGAAACAUCACAAACGACUUUAGGACAGUAAGGGCUUUGACAUACUGUCGUCUGUUUACUGCAUGUGAAUGAAUCACACCAAGUCUAUGGUGUAGUUCAUGCACUAGUUUAUUUGAUUACAGAAAAGUGCUAGGCUGUUGUUUUCUGCCUGAUAGUGAAAAUUAAAGGGCUCCAUCAUAUUCUCUGCUUUCAAAUGAAUUUUCAUGUAUGCUACAGCUGAGGCUGUGUUUAAGAGGUUGGAUCAAGAAUGCUCUGAUGGUUAAAUUAUCCUUUGAAGUGCUAAAUUUAAUGCUGUAUGUGAUGUGCCAAAAGUAGCUGAGGACGACAUGCGUCUGUUCAAAUGUCCAGGAAACAUUCCCAGCUCACUGUCUGCUAUGUUUGCAACAGCUGCUUUUGUGAUAUUUUUCUUUGAUGUUUUUACAUUAUUUGAAAGCAGUAUUCAAGAAAAUCAUCUGUCUUUGGUUCAAGUGUAACUUGAUAAGUUUAUAAGACUUUAUCUAAAAAAAAAAAAGUCUCGUCUUUAAGUGAAAGUUUCACUGUAAAAAAUGAUUUUCAUUUACUAGCCACAUGAGAUGAUUGUACAGAUUGUAACAGUUUGUAAAACUGAAAGGAUAAUAUAUAUUUGCUUAAAAAGAACAGUGUAUUGCAUAUAUAUGGUACGCAAUUUAUACUAAAGUCAAUUAAAUAUCACAGUGAUAAAAAGCAA